AUGCUUCGAGACAAAUGUGAACCCUACGAGAAAGUUCCCCAAUCCACAUCCCAGACCCCAGCCGCCACCCCACCCCGCCGUCGUUCUCGCUCACAGCCGCCGCCCCCACCCCGCCGUCGAUGUCGCCCACGGCGGCCGCCCCCACCCCGCCGCCGUCCUCGCCCACGGCGGCCGCACCACCCGGCCGCCGACCUCGCCCACGUCGGCCGCACCACCCCGCCGUUGACCUCACCCCCGGCGGACGCCUUCCUCCACAUCCUUCUGACCCCAAGGCUGAGGUCGUUCCCGUCUAUCUCCCCUGUGUGUGCGCGUACAUCGUCGGCAAGCGUGAGGAGGGGUUGCCGCAGUUGCUUCUUCGCCUUCUCCCAUCUCACGUCCCCAUCGCCGGACGCCUCGCCACGUCUCUCACCUUGCCCCUCUCCAUGGUGCAUCGCGGAACUAUUUCUGGAGGCCGUCGCCACCGCAUUAGUUGCCGGAUGGUCUUCCCCUGCUCCAUUGCGCUGCUUUCAGGAGACAAUGAGUCCGGAACAGAUGAGUGAGGAUCAUAACUGGAUGGUUUCAUAG
rnacentral:rRNA from 1 species